rnacentral:rRNA from 1 species
UACGUAGGGUGCGAGCGUUAAUCGGAAUUACUGGGCGUAAAGCGUGCGUAGGCGGUUCUCCAAGUCCGUUGUGAAAGCCCCGGGCUCAACCUGGGAAUGGCAGUGGAAACUAGGGGACUGGAAUCUGGCAGAGGGGGGUGGAAUGCCGCGUGUAGCAGUGAAAUGCGUAGAGAUGCGGCGGAACACCGAUGGCGAAGGCAGCCCCCUGGGCUGAGAUUGAC